UGAGGAAUAUUGGGCAAUGCCCGAAAGGGUGACCCAGCAACGCCGCGUGGAGGAUGAAGGUCGUAAGAUUGUAAACUCCUGUUAGAGGGGAAGAAUAACUAAGUUUGGAGCUUAGUAUGACUGUACCCUCAGAGAAAGCCCCGGCUAACUACGUGCCAGCAGCCGCGGUAAUACGUAGGGGGCAAGCGUUGUCCGGAUUUACUGGGUGUAAAGGGCGCGCAGGCGGAAUGGAAAGUCAGUGGUGAAAUCCUACAGCUUAACUGUAGAACUGCCUUUGAUACUUUCAUUCUUGAGUUCGGGAGAGAGAGACGGAAUUCCAGGUGUAGUGGUGAAAUACGUAGAUAUCUGGAAGAACACCAGUUGCGAAGGCGGUCUCUUAGUCCGACACUGACGCUGAGGCGCGAAAGCGUGGGGAGCAAAC
rnacentral:rRNA from 1 species